CGGGGGGAGCAAGCGUUGUUCGGAUUUACUGGGCGUAAAGGGCGCGUAGGCGGCCACCGCAAGUCGACUGUGAAAUCUCCGGGCUUAACCCGGAAAGGUCAGCCGAUACUGCGGGGCUAGAGUGCAGAAGGGGCAACUGGAAUUCUCGGUGUAGCGGUGAAAUGCGUAGAUAUCGAGAGGAACACCUGCGGCGAAGGCGGGUUGCUGGGCUGACACUGACGCUGAGGCGCGAAAGCUAGGGGAGCGAACGGGAUUAGAUACCCCGGUAGUCCUAGCCUUAAACGAUGAAUGCUUGGUGUCUGGGGUUUUAUAGUCCCCGGGUGCUGUCGCUAACGCUUUAAGCAUUCCGCCUGGGGAGUACGGUCGCAAGACUG
rnacentral:rRNA from 1 species